ACAGCAGCCGCCGCGGUAAUACGGAGGGGGCUAGCGUUGUUCGGAAUUACUGGGCGUAAAGCGCACGUAGGCGGCUUGGUAAGUUAGAGGUGAAAGCCUGGAGCUCAACUCCAGAAUUGCCUUUAAGACUGCCGAGCUAGUAGGUGAGAGAGGUAAGUGGAAUUCCGAGUGUAGAGGUGAAAUUCGUAGAUAUUCGGAAGAACACCAGUGGCGAAGGCGGCUUACUGGCUCAUUCUAGACGCUGAGGUGCGAAAGCGUGGGGAGCAAACAGGAUUAGAUACCCCAGUAGUCCCUGUCUCUUAUAC
rnacentral:rRNA from 1 species